UACACACCGCCCGUCACACCCAUGGGGAGUUGGUUCUACCCGAAGGCACUGCGCUAACCGCAGGAGGCAGGCGACCACCGGUAGGGGUCAGCGACUGGGGGUGG
rnacentral:rRNA from 1 species